ACCUGAGCCAAAGCACACUUAGAUGUCAUGGGUAAGCACAGUCCCUAGAACACUGGCUAAAAGCCAGUGAUCCCCAGACUGGCAGUGAUGCUGGGGAAGAUCUGAAUAGGGAAAAUCCCACGGAAGACUGAGCAAGAGCCUGGAGCAGAAAGGAGAAGACCAGAGGCUGCCCGCAUCUGCCCUGAAGAGAAGCUCCCAGCUUUGCUCCAGGGCCCAGAACCAGGUCCCUCCAUCCCAACCUCCCUCCAGCAGGAAAACACGACCUACGGAGGACAGCAUGUGUUACUCCCACGCGUGAGCACAUCUUCCUCCCCAGAGAGAGAAGGUUCCAUGGGAAGGCGUGCUACCUUCCCCUUGCACUGUCCCCCCUGCUCUCUGAUCCCCAAGGUGCCCACUGGGGCCCCCGCUGUAUCUCUGAGGGAACAUUCUGGAAGGUGUUCGUGAAGACCCUGCCUUUGCCUUCCUGGUGCCGGCUCCCAAGGUGGGCUCUCAGGAGCACUUCGGAACUCUCAACAAUGGCUCACCUGUGGUUUUCCUGCCUCCUCAAGGAGCCAGACCUCACAAGGGGCCUCUAGAGAACCUCAAAGCCCGACAGCAUAACCCUUACAACAACCCUGUAAGGUCUUCCUUUGGUUUACUCUCGCUCUGGGUGCAGCAGAAAGAAUAAGCCCUGGUUCCCAGAAGACCUGGGUUCUCACCCAACCUCCAGUCCUCCCUGGCCAGGGGACCUAUCGAUCACAACUCACCUCAGCUCUCACGGUGCCUGAAACAUAGGAGGCAUCUAGAAAAUUCUUCUUUUACUCUCCUUGUCAGCAUACAUCAUCUCCUUCUUCCCUCUCUUGCCUCUCUGAUUCUUACUCAUGUUAUCAUCAUUAUUACUCCCUCCUAUAGAUUAGCUUUUACAUUUCUUGUAAUACUCAGAGAUAAUCAUCAAAUGUUAAGCUUGAAAAAGAGACUUUUAUUCCUAACCUGGUAAAGGUAUCUAUAACCACCUACAGCAAACAUGAGGAUUCACUGUGAAAUAUUAAAUGUGUUCCAUGGAACUCAGGAACAAGAGAAAGAUGUCUGCCAUCACUGCUUCCAGUCCACACUGUA